rnacentral:rRNA from 1 species
GACGAAGGGGGCUAGCGUUGUUCGGAAUUACUGGGCGUAAAGGGCGCGUAGGCGGCCUGUUAAGUCGAACGUGAAAUCCCCGGGCUCAACCCGGGAACUGCGUCCGAUACUGGCAGGCUUGAAUCCGGGAGAGGGAUGCGGAAUUCCAGGUGUAGCGGUGAAAUGCGUAGAUAUCUGGAGGAACACCGGUGGCGAAGGCGGCAUCCUGGACCGGUAUUGACGCUGAGGCGCGAAAGCCAGGGGAGCAAACGGG